CUUUUAUUGUCCAUUUGCAUGGAAAUAUAAUCAGCUGGAAGGCUUCUGGCAGUUGCGGUACAGUCAGCAGAUGGUAUACUGUAGGAGCUGGCCUAUGUGAUAAGAAUGCAUGUGCAAAUGUUAAGCAGGAGAAGAAGUACAACAUUUGAUUAGUUUGCUGCAAAGGAAGGCAAGGCUUUUGGGUCUUUGUCAAUGGUGAGAAAACAAGCAAGGUGAUCAAGACAGGAACUACUGCCAUGGCAACAAGGGCCAGCUGUCACCUCUGUCUGUGUUCCUGGUCUUCACUGGUUCACUGGCUGUAAUCUUCACCUCUCUACGGGAGACUGGAGACUAGAUCUCUGUCUCCACUUUGACCCAUGUGCCUGUCACUGCUGCAGACCUGGCGCCAGAAUAAAGUGAGAUCGGUGAGGGGGCAGUUGAAAUCGGGCACAAUUUGGGGGGAUUCUUGCAUUGGAAUGACAUUGAAUUCCGCUUAAUGACGCUACACCCCAAUAAACAAAGUUCAAAUGCUGAGA